rnacentral:rRNA from 1 species
AUACGGAGGGUGCAAGCGUUACUCGGAAUCACUGGGCGUAAAGCGCGCGCAGGCGGGCUGAUAAGUUGGAUGUGAAAGCCUACGGCUCAACCGUAGAACUGCAUCCAAAACUGUCAGUCUAGAGUCUGGGAGGGGAAGAUGGAAUUAGUUGUGUAGGGGUAAAAUCCGUAGAGAUAACUAGGAAUACCAAAAGUGAAGGCGAUCUUCUGGAACAGUACUGACGCUGAGGCGCGAAAGCGUGGGGAGCAAACAGGAUUAGAAACCCUAGUAGUCC